rnacentral:tRNA from 1 species
AUAUAUAUAGCUCAGUGGUAGAGUGCAUGCUUUGUAUGUAUGAUGUCCUGGGUUCAAUCCCCAGCUUUUGCC